UAUGGCUGUACGUCAUUUGUAUCAGCCUUUCUAUAUGAAGGUGUGGCUGUACGUCAUUUGUGCCAGCCUUCCUAUAUGAAGGUAUGGCUGUACGUCACUUGCACCAGCCUUCUUAUGUGAAGGUAUGGCUGUACGUCAUUUGUAUCAGCCUUUCUAUAUGAAGGUAUGGCUGUACGUCAUUUGUACCAGCCUUCCUAUGUGAAGGUAUGGCUGCACGUCACUUGCACCAGCCUUCUUAUGUGAAGGUAUGGCUGUACGCCAUUUGUACCGGCCUUCCUAUGUGAAGGUAUGGCUGCACGUCAUUUGUACCAGCCUUCCUAUAUGAAGGUAUGGCUGCACGUCACUUGUACCAGCCUUCCUGUAUGAAGGUAUGGCUGCACGUCAUUUGUACCAGCCUUCCUAUAUGAAGGUGUGGCUGCACGUCAUUUGUAUCAGCCUUCCUAUAUGAAGGCUAAUAUAAGAAGGCUAUAUAUACAACGCUGAUCUACCAGGAAGGUUAGCAUGAAGCUCUGUAAUGUUCAUCAUUGAGUUUAACGAUAAAAUGAAACCCAGUUUCCAUGGCAACAAUGUUUAAAUUUUUUCGGCUUUGUUUCAAGUCUGAACAAGACCGUUCCUUUUAUACCGCAACUAAGUGACUUCAAGUCUUGAUUGCCUAGUGGCGGCCAUUGAUAAUAGUUAAGUGGCUGUCAGUGUAGUAAGUUACACUUUAAUAAAUACAAAUAAGUAUUCAAGUGUGAAGCAAUAUUAAACAUGACUUGCCUCUUCAAUUAUGUUCAGUCGUUGUUGAGUAGCAGUUGAUCAAAUUCCUGCUAUAUAAACUUGUACGAAGAGUCUUACCGCAAUAAUGACGCCAGCUAGGCAUAUUUUACAAUCUUUUGCUAUUAGAUUCACUACUCUAGUCAGAAUCUCGCUCGUCAUUUCCUAGUCUUUCUUUGGUUCGUAGUGGCAAACUAGAUCUCUCUAGGAUAAUUGUAGUGAACUCAUUUCAAAUGUCAGUUAGAUCCCAUGUGAGUUAAGAAGACGAUGCUCAUGACGCACCGCUGAUGUGCUUAUGGGAACACCAUUCGUUUCCGGACGUGGGGCAGGACACAUACGAGUAGCUAGGCAACUCGUUUCUUUUUAAUUUGAGAUCUCACAUCAAGUUACGCUGCUCAUUGUUAACCUAUCCGGCGUAUCAAGAUACGCAACUCGUAACCUGCUGUGAGGAGGCCUCAUGUCUAAACCUAAGGACAGUCAUGCUGCCGGAAGCAACGCAUGAAUUGCAUGAGUUACUGGAUUGGAUCGUAAAAUGCCAGUAAAAUAUGUGUUAUGAGCCAUCUAUAUACUGUCGAUGCUUGCAAUUGCAUCCGAAGACACUCGAGUUAGUUUGGAGCCGUUGAAGUUACAAGUAACACUAUAGCUCUCGACUCAGCUGCUUGCCCUAAGGAGUUAUUUCAACGACUCGAAAUUACCUACUUAUUGUAAUCUCGCCGCGAUAUUGUUAAUAUAAACGCGUUUAAAGGUCCCGUGUGUAUUUAUGAGGUGUCACCUCACAGAGGUUCUUGUUUCUUGUCACGUCUUCACGGACAAUGUUUCGAUCCGAGCGAAGGCCUCUUACGCUUAUGACCAUUUAACCGGAUUCCUACUUUGUUGAAAAUUGUAAAUAAGAAAUCUGUAACCUUAUAGGCUUUGUGAAUACUUGAUAUAGUUGAAUGAACAAACUUUAUGUCAGCAGCAUGAUUUUGAUCCAUCAUUUCACAGGGAUAUAUAUUAAACUUGAUUUUUAUGAAAUGAGUAAUAUGAA
rnacentral:lncRNA from 1 species